AAGUCGUAACAAGGUUUCCGUAGGUGAACCUGCGGAAGGAUCAUUACAUGAUAGUACAGGCCCGAAGCUGUAGCAAUACACGCCCAAAGGCUCAUGUCUAUUACCCUUGUUUAUCGAGCACCUAUGUUUCCUUGGUGGGCUUGCCCGCCAAUAGGACACCCCAUUAACCCAUUUUAUUUUGAAUUAGCGUCUGAAUAAAUUGAAUAAUUACAACUUUCAACAACGGAUCUCUUGGUUCUG
rnacentral:misc_RNA from 1 species